ACCUUUAAUAGUUCUCAAUGUAUUAGCUAGGCAAGAGAAGCCAAACAACAUACAAAUAUGUAUCCUAAAGUAAUGAACCAAGGAUCUAUUAUGCAUCCUUUAGUCAAGGCACAACAUACUGCCAACUCUAACUAUAAAAGAUUAAUUCACGAAUUCAGAUAAAUUAUUGAAUGCAACACUUGAGGGCUACAAUUACACGCCACAUGUUACCUACAAUAAGACAAAACUAUAGGAAAAGAGAAAAAAAUAUAUAAGUGUCGAUGAUCAUUCAAAAGCCUCCUCGAUCAGAUCGACCAUCUUUUCCUGCAUCAUUUAUGUAACUACUAUAAGAUUUACUACACAAAUAAAAAUGACGAGAAAGCAUUAUAGAGAGCAAUAGGCAGGACCAUGAUAUUAUAAGCCAAAUAUGUGGUAGUGGAUUUGGAUAAUCUAAAAUCCAAUUGGAGUCCACUAGUUUAUUUGGAUAACAUAGAUGAUGUCUAUUUGGAUUUAGACAACAAAAACAAGCAAAACAAUUUCUGCAAUAGUUGCUCAUGAGUUGAGCAAUUUGUGCAAACAAAUUAUAAUACAUCUUCAGCUAUCGUAAGUGCAGCUACAUCGUAUUCAUCUGGAAGCCGGAAUGCAGGAAGAAAAAUAUACUGCAAACAAGCUAAUCGUGUUGCAAGAUAGAGCCAGUCCAUUAAAUCAUAUUACUUAGUCGAGAAUAUCAAGUAUUAUAAGUUUCUGCGUAGUAUCUACAAUUAAUCAAAAUUACUUCUCUUUGGCAUCUCUCUUGCACUAAAUUAUGGAGGAACAAAUAGACAAGCAUGAGAAGUUGUUAAGUAAUUGAAGCCUGACAGAACUAAGAUUUUCAGUAAAAUAUUCUGCUGCUACUAUUCCUACACAAGAAACUAAAAAAUACAUAACGGAAACAGGAAAUUAGGAACAAUAUGCAGGUGUAAACAUGGCAUCACACGCAAGAUAUCACAAACAGAUUCAGGUAUUGCAUACAGUCAAAAACACAUGCCUUUUAUUAACACAAUAUUCUUCCUAAUUUGCCGAUUUUCUCACCCAAGUCUGAAGUU
rnacentral:lncRNA from 1 species